rnacentral:tRNA from 1 species
UGCGGGGUUUGCCAAGCUGGCCAAAGGCGCAGGACUUAAGAUCCUGUCUCGCAGGAGUUCGCGGGUUCGAAUCCCGUACCCCGCAU